rfam:Solanum tuberosum cultivar DM 1-3 516 R44 scf00127_53, whole genome shotgun sequence.
UUCUCCUUCGGAGACAACUGAUAAAAUUGGAACAAUACAGAGAAGAUUAGUGUGAUUCCUGUGCAAGAAUGACACCAACAAAUUGAGAAAUAGACUGGUGUUAC